GCCAUGCUGACGAGUCCUAAUUAGGACGAAACAGCUGUCCAUGGU
rfam:Nematostella vectensis strain CH2 x CH6 NEMVEscaffold_88_Cont11549, whole genome shotgun sequence.